UACGUAGGGAGCAAGCGUUGUCCGGAAUCAUUGGGCGUAAAGCGCGCGUAGGUGGCCACAUAAGUCCGUUGUGAAAGUCAAAGGCUCAACCUUUGAAAGCCGAUGGAUACUGUGUGGCUAGAGUACGGAAGAGGCGAGUGGAAUUCCUGGUGUAGCGGUGGAAUGCGCAGAUAUCAGGAGGAACACCCAUAGCGAAGGCAGCUCGCUGGGACGGUACUGACGCUAAGGCGCGAAAGCGUGGGGAGCGAACAGG
rnacentral:rRNA from 1 species